rnacentral:rRNA from 1 species
UGUGGCUGGGGGUGAAAGGCCAAUCAAACCGGGAGAUAGCUGGUUCUCCCCGAAAGCUAUUUAGGUAGCGCCUCGUGAAUUCAUCUCCGGGGGUAGAGCACUGUUUCGGCAAGGGGGUCAUCCCGACUUACCAACCCGAUGCAAACUGCGAAUACCGGAGAAUGUUAUCACGGGAGACACACGGCGGGUGCUAACGUCCGUCGUGAAGAGGGAAACAACCCAGACCGCCAGCUAAGGUCCCAAAGUCAUGGUUAAGUGGGAAACGAUGUGGGAAGGCCCAGACAGCCAGGAUGUUGGCUUAGAAGCAGCCAUCAUUUAAAGAAAGCGUAAUAGCUCACUGGUCGAGUCGGCCUGCGCGGAAGAUGUAACGGGGCUAAACCAUGCACCGAAGCUGCGGCAGCGACACUAUGUGUUGUUGGGUAGGGGAGCGUUCUGUAAGCCUGUGAAGGUGUACUGUGAGGUAUGCUGGAGGUAUCAGAAGUGCGAAUGCUGACAUAAGUAACGAUAAAGCGGGUGAAAAGCCCGCUCGCCGGAAGACCAAGGGUUCCUGUCCAACGUUAAUCGGGGCAGGGUGAGUCGACCCCUAAGGCGAGGCCGAAAGGCGUAGUCGAUGGGAAACAGGUUAAUAUUCCUGUACUUGGUGUUACUGCGAAGGGGGGACGGAGAAGGCUAUGUUGGCCGGGCGACGGUUGUCCCGGUUUAAGCGUGUAGGCUGAUUUUCCAGGCAAAUCCGGAAAAUCAAGGCUGAGGCGUGAUGACGAGGCACUACGGUGCUGAAGCAACAAAUGCCCUGCUUCCAGGAAAAGCCUCUAAGCAUCAGGUAACAUCAAAUCGUACCCCAAACCGACACAGGUGGUCAGGUAGAGAAUACCAAGGCGCUUGAGAGAACUCGGGUGAAGGAACUAGGCAAAAUGGUGCCGUAACUUCGGGAGAAGGCACGCUGAUAUGUAGGUGAAGCGACUUGCUCGUGGAGCUGAAAUCAGUCGAAGAUACCAGCUGGCUGCAACUGUUUAUUAAAAACACAGCACUGUGCAAACACGAAAGUGGACGUAUACGGUGUGACGCCUGCCCGGUGCCGGAAGGUUAAUUGAUGGGGUUAGCGGUAACGCGAAGCUCUUGAUCGAAGCCCCGGUAAACGGCGGCCGUAACUAUAACGGUCCUAAGGUAGCGAAAUUCCUUGUCGGGUAAGUUCCGACCUGCACGAAUGGCGUAAUGAUGGCCAGGCUGUCUCCACCCGAGACUCAGUGAAAUUGAACUCGCUGUGAAGAUGCAGUGUACCCGCGGCAAGACGGAAAGACCCCGUGAACCUUUACUAUAGCUUGACACUGAACAUUGAGCCUUGAUGUGUAGGAUAGGUGGGAGGCUUUGAAGUGUGGACGCCAGUCUGCAUGGAGCCGACCUUGAAAUACCACCCUUUAAUGUUUGAUGUUCUAACGUUGGCCCGU